rnacentral:tRNA from 1 species
AAAAAUUAGUUAAAUUAUAUAACAUUAGUAUGUCAAACUAAAAUCAUUAAAACAUUAAUAUUUUUUA